UCAAUCGGAUCAAAAUUGUACAAGUUAUUUGUCACGCCAAUUCAAAAAAAAAGUGUUUCGAGAAAAACGCGUUUAAAGUUUCACAUAUAAGUUAGACGAGCCGGAGACUACUAUUAAUUGGGAGAUUAAACAUAUAUGAACAAUGGUGAUCUAACGAGGAAAGAAAUAUUUUUCAAUAAAAAGUUGGAUUAGUGGAAAUUGCGCGCUUGUUGUGUUUUGCACAAUAUCUCAAAUGAAGAUGAAAUCGAUUUUAAUAUGGAAAGUGUACCAGAAAGUUUUGGCGAUGAUUAUUGAGAACAUGACAAACUUCCAACUGGAAACUCUUACAGAAACUUAGUGUGUAAAGAGUAAUGAAUUACUCGAGUUUCAGUGAUAAUUAACAAAGCAUCCAAAUUAAUUUUUCAUUUUCUUUUGUAAUAAGUAUAAUUUUAUAAACAAGCAUUUCACAUCCAGCUUACUACUUUUGGUCAUUUUCAAUUAAAUUUUUAUUUUAAUUUUCAUAAAGCGAAAAAUCAAAAAGUAAAAAAGAGCUGAUGUUUGUGCUGUCGGUAUAGUGAUGGAUAA